rnacentral:hammerhead_ribozyme from 1 species
ACGUCACUGAUGAGUCUCUUGUAGACGAAACGCGCGUCUGGCAU